GAGUUUGAUCAUGGCUCAGAACGUACGCUGGCGGCACGCCUAACACAUGCAAGUCGAACGAAGUAGCAAUACUUAGUGGCAGACGGGUGAGUAACAUGUAGGUAUCUGCCCUUUGGCCUGGAAUAACACGAGGAAACUUGUGCUAAUACCGGAUAAGUCUUUACGGAGAAAGCUUUAUGCACCAUUGGAUGAGCCUGCACUUGAUUAGUUUGUUGGUGGGGUAAUGGCCUACCAAGACUGUGAUCAAUAGCUGAUUUGAGAGGAUGAUCAGCCACAUUGGGACUGAGACACGGCCCAAACUCCUACGGGAGGCAGCAGUGGGGAAUCUUGCACAAUGGAGGAAACUCUGAUGCAGCGAUGCCGCGUGAGUGAAGAAGGCCCUUGGGUUGUAAAGCUCUUUCGUCGGGGAAGAAAAUGACUGUACCCGAAUAAGAAGGUCCGGCUAACUUCGUGCCAGCAGCCGCGGUAAUACGAAGGGACCUAGCGUAGUUCGGAAUUACUGGGCUUAAAGAGUUCGUAGGUGGUUGAAAGAGUUAGUGGUGAAAUCCCAGAGCUUAACUCUGGAACUGCCAUUAAAACUUUUCAGCUAGAGUAUGAUAGAGGAAAGCAGAAUUUCUAGUGUAGAGGUGAAAUUCGUAGAUAUUAGAAAGAAUACCAAUUGCGAAGGCAGCUUUCUGGAUCAUUACUGACACUGAGGAACGAAAGCAUGGGUAGCGAAGAGGAUUAGAUACCCUCGUAGUCCAUGCCGUAAACGAUGUGUGUUAGACGUUGGAAAUUUAUUUUCAGUGUCGCAGCGAAAGCGAUAAACACACCGCCUGGGGAGUACGACCGCAAGGUUAAAACUCAAAUGAAUUGACGGGGACCCGCACAAGUAGUGGAGCAUGUGGUUUAAUUCGAAGAUACGCGCAGAACCUUACCAACACUUGACAUGUUCGUCGCGACUCUAAGAGAUUAGAGUUUUCGGUUCGGCCGGACGAAACACAGGUGCUGCAUGGCUGUCGUCAGCUCGUGUCGUGAGAUGUUGGGUUAAGUCCCGCAACGAGCGCAACCCUCACUUUUAGUUGCCAUCAUUAUGUUGGGCACUCUGAAAGAACUGCCAGUGAUAAGCUGAAGGAAGGUGGGGAUGACGUCAAGUCCUCAUGGCCCUUACGUGUUGGGCUACACACGUGCUACAAUGGUAUCUACAACAGGAAGCAAGACUGCGAAGUUAAGCAAAUCCCUAAAAGAUACCUCAGUUCGGAUUGCACUCUGCAACUCGAGUGCAUGAAGCUGGAAUUACUAGUAAUCGUGGAUCAGCGUGCCACGGUGAAUGCGUUCCCGGGUCUUGUACACACCGCCCGUCACACCAUGGGAGUUGGUUCUACCUUAAGGCAAGGUUUUAAACCCUUGACCACGGUAUAGUCAGCGACUGGGGUGAAGUCGUAACAAGGUAACC
rnacentral:rRNA from 1 species